AAUUUAAUAAAAUCUCAACUUUUGGUUUUUUAAAUUACUUAACAAAAAUAAGAAAAUACAAAAAGCAGCAGCAGGUGUUAUCUUUACUCUAACAAAUAGUUUAUUGAUCGGUCGACAAGGAAACAUGAAAUGGCCAAAAAGUGUGUGUGUGCGCUCGACGGUGAAAGGAAUUGAGUAUUGAAAUUUGAAUUCUAGAAGGCCACAAAAGUCAUCAAAGUGGAAGAAAAGCUGAUUUGUAUCUCACUCAAUCAAAACCGUGGGUGAGAAAAGAAAACAAAAAAUAAAAAAGAAUCAAAUUGAAAGAAUUGAUCCACCGUUUCCUUUUAACAAUUAAUUUAGUUAAUACGUUAAUGUGUUAAAUUAAAAGAAUGGAUUCUAAUUCCUCACUUGUCUAUCUCCAUGGAGUUCCUGAAUGCAUCAACCAUGUCAUCAUUAUAGAAUAUAGAAAAAAGGGUAAUUACUUAAUAACAAAAAAUUAAUGGGUAAUUUUCUUUUUACUUAUUUCUUGUUAUGUAUUUCU
rnacentral:lncRNA from 1 species